rnacentral:rRNA from 1 species
AUUGAACGCUGGCGGCAGGCCUAACACAUGCAAGUCGAGCGGAUGACGGGAGCUUGCUCCUUGAUUCAGCGGCGGACGGGUGAGUAAUGCCUAGGAAUCUGCCUGGUAGUGGGGGACAACGUUUCGAAAGGAACGCUAAUACCGCAUACGUCCUACGGGAGAAAGCAGGGGACCUUCGGGCCUUGCGCUAUCAGAUGAGCCUAGGUCGGAUUAGCUAGUUGGUGGGGUAAUGGCUCACCAAGGCGACGAUCCGUAACUGGUCUGAGAGGAUGAUCAGUCACACUGGAACUGAGACACGGUCCAGACUCCUACGGGAGGCAGCAGUGGGGAAUAUUGGACAAUGGGCGAAAGCCUGAUCCAGCCAUGCCGCGUGUGUGAAGAAGGUCUUCGGAUUGUAAAGCACUUUAAGUUGGGAGGAAGGGCAGUAAGUUAAUACCUUGCUGUUUUGACGUUACCGACAGAAUAAGCACCGGCUAACUCUGUGCCAGCAGCCGCGGUAAUACAGAGGGUGCAAGCGUUAAUCGGAAUUACUGGGCGUAAAGCGCGCGUAGGUGGUUUGUUAAGUUGGAUGUGAAAGCCCCGGGCUCAACCUGGGAACUGCAUCCAAAACUGGCAAGCUAGAGUACGGUAGAGGGUGGUGGAAUUUCCUGUGUAGCGGUGAAAUGCGUAGAUAUAGGAAGGAACACCAGUGGCGAAGGCGACCACCUGGACUGAUACUGACACUGAGGUGCGAAAGCGUGGGGAGCAACAGG